AAAAAGAAAAAAAAAAAACCCUAAUUCUUUAUCCCCAAUAUACAAUCCAUUACAUGGCUAAGAUCAUCAAAAUUGAAACCCAAAAAUUAAAAAGAAUACAACAAUAUAAGGAAUUUAUCAUUAAAAGCUUAUAACAAGCUGAAAAGAAAAAAAAUUAAAAAAUUAAAUAAAAAAAAGUAAAAUUUAAAACCCUAGCCCUAAUUUGUACAGAGAAAAUUAAGAUACAAUAAAGAUUGCCGAUUGUACGUAGAGAUAAAUCGAUAUUGAAAAAUAGGGAGCUGCGAAUAUCGAUGCCCUGAUGGAAAUAGAAGAGGAGAAGAGAGAGGGAGAGAGAGAGA
rnacentral:misc_RNA from 1 species